rnacentral:rRNA from 1 species
GGUAUGAUGGCAUCACGAAGGCCCCACUGUCUUAAGAGGACUCUCCAUGAAAUUGAAAUCGUAGUGAAGAUGCUACGUCCAUAUUGUAAGACGAAAAGACCCCAUUGAGCUUUACUAAAGACUUGUAUGGCUCGAAAUAACUUAAAUAAAAAGUUUAGAUAAUGUGGGAUCCGUUUUGGUUAAUGAAACACCACUCUUUUAUUUUAAGAGAGCUAACCUUGUAGGGAGAAUGCAAGUUGGAUAGUUUGGUUGGGGCGACCACCUUUUAAAAGGUAACGAAGGUGAGCUUAAGGUCCGUAGUUAAUAGCUAGUGGCCUGACUGCAAGGGGGACAUCCCGAGCAGACACUGGUAAUCUCUCAGUGGGUUAUAGUGACCCGUCAUCUUAGAGUGGAAUAGUUGACGAUC